CAAACAUUUCCAGCAAACAUCUUUGUCCUAAUGUGGAGGAAAAUAAAGAUGGGACUGGACUUAAUUUAAACUAUAAGGAAGUUUAAUCACAUGGGCUAGAGUACAUAGUGAAUCUGAACAUCAAAAGCCAUGUGAGAAACCUGGUACAUUAAAAAAAAAAAAUUAGUUAUCAAUGGACUUUUAUUUUACUUAUUGUGAUAUGUGGAUCUGAGGAUCGAACCCAGUGCCUCAACAUGCUAGGCAAGCACUCUGUUACCAAGCCGAAACCCCAGCCCUAACUUGAUACCAUUUUAAUAACCUGUUUUACAUAGACAUUAACCAGUAGCCUUAAUACUUUUUCAAUAUCUGUUUGGAUUGAAUUAAUAACCCAGAAAUCAGUGAAGCAAAGAAUCUAAUUUUAUCUCCAACUGUGGUUUCAGAUAUCACAGUGUGUGAGUUAAGAUUCCCCUUUGAAGAACUUAACUUUGUGUUGUGUUCUCAUUCCAACCUCCCAUAUUUGCCCAGUCCUUAGUUUUAGAACAGUCUGACAUAAGGUGUCCACAGAUAUCAAUGUCUCUUAGCUUAUGUAGGAAAUAUCAUUAUCUGAGUCUUGUUUUCUAGAGAUCAGUUUGAACUAUAAGUGUGUAGCAUCUAAGGGGAGUAGUUGGAUGCUGUGAAGCUGGAAGGAAUCUUUUGAUGUUCCUUUCAUCUAAAAGGAUGUUUUUUGGGGGGUGCAUAAUAGGAAUUAAACUCAGAGACACUCCACUACUUAACCUCAUCCCCAGCCCUAUUUUACAUUUUCUUUGGAAAGAGUUGCUUAGUGUCUUACCAUUGCUGAGGCUGCUUUGAACUCUCCAUCCUCUGCCUCAAACUCCAAAGCCCCUGGGAUUAGAGGCAUUUCCCACCAUGCC
rnacentral:lncRNA from 1 species